rnacentral:ribozyme from 1 species
AGUCAUAUCCCGACGACCCCCCUCCUCCUCCUCAGCAAGAGCCCAGUCCCUUCUCUGUCCCUACCACCUCCGAGAACCAAUC